GAUGAACGCUGGCGGCGUGCUUAACACAUGCAAGUCGAACGAAGCACUUUAUUUGAUUUCCUUCGGGACUGAUUAUUUUGUGACUGAGUGGCGGACGGGUGAGUAACGCGUGGGUAACCUGCCUUGUACAGGGGGAUAACAGUUGGAAACGGCUGCUAAUACCGCAUAAGCGCACAGCAUCGCAUGAUGCAGUGUGAAAAACUCCGGUGGUAUAAGAUGGACCCGCGUUGGAUUAGCUAGUUGGUGAGGUAACGGCCCACCAAGGCGACGAUCCAUAGCCGACCUGAGAGGGUGACCGGCCACAUUGGGACUGAGACACGGCCCAAACUCCUACGGGAAGCAGCAGUGGGGAAUAUUGCACAAUGGGCGAAAGCCUGAUGCAGCGACGCCGCGUGAGCGAAGAAGUAUUUCGGUAUGUAAAGCUCUAUCAGCAGGGAAGAUAAUGACGGUACCUGAAUAAGGAGCACCGGCUAAAUACGUG
rnacentral:rRNA from 1 species